GACGAACGCUGGCGGCGUGCCUAAUACAUGCAAGUUGAGCGCUGAAGGUUGGUACUUGUACCAACUGGAUGAGCAGCGAACGGGUGAGUAACGCGUGGGGAAUCUGCCUUUGAGCGGGGGACAACAUUUGGAAACGAAUGCUAAUACCGCAUAAAAACUUUAAACACAAGUUUUAAGUUUGAAAGAUGCAAUUGCAUCACUCAAAGAUGAUCCCGCGUUGGAUUAGCUAGUUGGUGAGGUAAAGGCGCACCAAGGCGAGGUUACAUAGCGGCACUGAGAGGAUGAGCGGCCAGAUUGAGACGGAGACAGGGCACAAACGGCUAGAGGAGGGAGCCAGAGGGAUACUGCGGGCAUGGAUGAAAGUCUGACCGAGCAACGCCGCGUGAGGGAAGAAGGUUGUCGGAUCGUAAAACUCUGUUGGUAGGGAAGAACGUUGGUGAGAGUGGAAAGCUCAUUAAGUGACGGUAACUACCCAGAAAGGGACGGCUAACUACGUG
rnacentral:rRNA from 1 species